ACUUGAAAAAGAAAUAAAACAAGAUCUUGAGAAAAAAGAGGGCCAAUGCAAGAAGAGUAUUCAGAGUAUUUUAUCAUCAGUUGAAGAAAAGAAAAAAAUUAUAACAGAAUAUCAGACCAAUCUUCAAAACAUCAAACAAAAUGCGUCUGGUCUUCAAACAUUUCUUCUAAUGAGAAAUAUUGAGAUGAAAGUUUUUGAAAAUGAACAAUAUUUACAAUCCUUGGUUGAAACUGACCAAUUUGAACCAGUUGAACUCGUUUUUAAAGUAGAACCACGGGUGCUUAGUGUUUUAGACUGUUUGAAGAAUUUUGGAUCAAUUGAAAUAAAAAAGACGUCGAGUAGCAUUCGUUUAAUCAGAGAGAAAGAUAAACAAGCACAGUUGCAACUAACACCAACGAAGACCAUAAACGAUGUUAAGAUAAUUCUACAAAAGAAAAUUACGACAAAUGGAGAGAUUAUAAGGGGUUGUUGCAUGUCAGUUAAUAGCGAAUAUUUCUUCACUGAUCACUACAUAAGAAAAACGCUUUCUGUCAUGUCGGCAGAUGGAACAUUUAGAUAUCAAAUAUUUGCUUGAUCCUUGUUAUGGGUUUAACCUAACACUUAUUGAUGAGAAAACUAUCGCUAUUACAUCUGGAGGAGCCGAUGAUCACAUCGGAAUUGACAUAAUUAACAUCGAGAGCCGGAAGAAAAUAAAGUUCAUCAGCCUUCCUGGUCGUCCAUGGGGAAUAACACGUGAUCACGACUCGGUGUAUGUCUGUGUUGAAGCCCGUGGUAUAUAUAAAGUAAACACUGUGGAUUAUACUACCUCUUAUAUGAUCAGUUGUAACUUAUCGUAUUAUUCCUACGUAUCUGUAUUCGCCGACAAGAUAUACUACACUGACUGGACAGAUAACAGUGUAGUUUGUUGUGACUGUAGUGGAUCAAGCGUUUGGAUGUUUAAAGAUGAAUCAGUGUUGAUGUCACCGAGAGGCAUCACUGCUGAUAAUGAUGGUAACGUGUUCGUUGUCGGAGAGAAUUCGUCGAAUGUUGUCAUUAUAUCAAAUGAUGGAAAACUCCAAAGACAAAUCCUGACAAACAAAGAUGGUCUAUAUGAACCGUCAGCUAUUUUCUUUGAUAAACAUACAGAGAAACUUCUUGUUGCGAACAACAAACAAUCUGCUUUCCUUUACAAUGUUACAUGACAUCAAAAUAAUUAAUAUUACAAUUCACCUUAUUUUGUCUUUAUCCUACAUAAUGUUAAAUCAGUGAACUGUUUGGCUUUUGAUAAAGAAUAACAAAUAACAGUUCUUAACAAAGUCUGAAGUUCAUGGAUAAUGAAUGCUUAAUGUUUCAAAAUAUUUGAACAUAUAUUGUAAAUCAAAAUUAAGAUAUAAACAAUAUGUCACUGGUUUUCAAUAG
rnacentral:lncRNA from 1 species